CAGGUAGCUCAGUCGGUAGAGCAGUGGACUGAAAAUCCUCGUGUCGGUGGUUCGAUUCCGCCCCUGGGCACCA
rnacentral:tRNA from 2 species